GCGCCCGUACUCCAACUGGUAGAGAGUCUGGCCUUAGACACCAGGUGUUGUCGGUUCGAAUCCGACCGGGCGCA
rnacentral:tRNA from 1 species